AUGGCUGGAUUCGCUGAUGCACUGAGGCCGGAUAAGUUUACCGGUGUGCACUUUAAGAGGUGGCAGGUGAAGACCACGCUCUGGCUUACUGCUCUGAAAAUUUUCCACGCUAGUGUUGGUGCUCCAGAGGGAAUGACCGACGAAGAUCAGAGAAAAUUCCAGGAAGCCAAUACUAUGUUUGUGGGAUGCAUUCUGAGUGUUCUUGCUGUCCGUCUGUGUGAUGUGUACAUGCACAUAAACGACGGAAAAAUUCUGUGGGAUGCACUGAAUGCAAAAUUCGGUGCAAUAGAUGCAGGCAGUGAACUAUACAUCAUGGAGAGUUUUCAUGACUACAAGAUGGUGAAUAACCGUUCUGUGGUUGAACAAGCUCAUGAGAUACAAUGCAUUGUGAAGGAACUUGAACUCCUUAAAUGUGUUCUACCCGACAAAUUCGUGGCUGGGUGCAUGAUUGCAAAGUUGCCUCCUUCAUGGAGGAAUUUCGCCACAACUCUGAAGCAUAAGAGACAGGAGAUAUCAAUUGAAAAUCUGAUUGCAUCUCUUGAUGUUGAAGAAAAAGCUCGGGCUAAAGAUACCACUGAAAAAGGAGGUGAGGUUCAGCCUACUGCUAACAUGGUGCAGAUGUACCCACAGAACAAGAACAAAGGGAAGAACAAACCUGUUUCCAACAAGCCUACCAAGACUACUACCUUCAAGAAGAAGAAGUUCAACAAGGCUGAGCUAGAGUGCUACGUCGCAAGGGAUUCUUCCGUCCUAAUGGGGAAUGGGUCACAUGCUUCUGUUCGUGGCAUUGGCACGGUGGAUCUGAAGUUUACUUCGGGAAAGAUCGUGCAACUAAGGAACGUGCAGCAUGUCCCUACUAUGAACAAGAAUCUAGUUAGCGGCUCCCUUCUAUGUUGA
rnacentral:rRNA from 1 species